rnacentral:misc_RNA from 1 species
GAUGAAGAACGUAGCGAAAUGCGAUAAGUAGUGUGAAUUGCAGAAUUCAGUGAAUCAUCGAAUCUUUGAACGCACAUUGCGCCCCUUGGUAUUCCAUGGGGCAUGCCUGUUCGAGCGUCAUUUGUACCUUCAAGCUUUGCUUGGUGUUGGGUGUUUGUCCAUUCUCUUGCAGAGGGACUCGCCUUAAAGUAAUUGGCAGCCAGUGUUUUGGUUUUGAAGCGCAGCACAAGUCGCGAUUCAAAGCUAUACGCCGCUUCCACAAGCCCUUUUCACUUUUGACCUCGGAUCAGGUAGGGAUACCCGCUGAACUUAAGCAUAUCAAUAAGCGGAGGA